rnacentral:rRNA from 1 species
AGAGUUGUAUCCUGGCUCAGGAUGAACGCUGGCGGUAUGCUUUACACAUGCAAGUCGUACGAGAGUUUUUAACUCAAGUGGCGGACGGGUGAGUAACACGUAAGAAUUUGCCUUUAGGAGGGGGACAACAACUGGAAACGGUUGCUAAUACCCCAUAUGCUUUCGAGUGAAAUGGAUUUUCCGCCUAAAGAGAAGCUUGCGGCUGAUUAGCUUGUUGGUGAGGUAAUGGCUUACCAAGGCGACGAUCAGUAUCUGGUUUGAGAGGACGAUCAGACACACUGGAACUGAGACACGGUCCAGACUCCUACGGGAGGCAGCAGUGGGGAAUUUUCCGCAAUGGGCGAAAGCCUGACGGAGCAAUACCGCGUGAGGGAUGACGGCCUAUGGGUUGUAAACCUCUUUUUUCAGGGAGGAAUAAAUGACGUGUACCUGAAGAAUAAGCAUCGGCUAACUCCGUGCCAGCAGCCGCGG